GCAUUGAAGAUGUGAGCGAGCACUGUGAGCGCGAUCCUGCAAUAAUCAUAGUACCCACCGUCUGUGAGCGAACUAUGCUGCUCGCUCGGACUCCAAUGAAUGAUCACGGAAGUUCGUUGCCAUGAUAAACAAUGAACUGGAGUUUUUACAUAACUCAAUCGAAGUAUGCUUUUUCAAAUUACAAUCUGAGUUAACCUGACAUCAAGUGAAUGAAAAACAGCGAAUGUUCAAAAUGUCACGCAAAUCCGCGCGUUGCUCAAGUGACGUGAUGCUGAAAGCUGACGCUGCAGGUCCUUCAUCCGUACUUUAUAACAUCAUAGAGCUUGGCGAUCAUUUUGCAGGGGAACAACCACCAUAAAAACCCGCAGCGCUUCGAUAGUACCAGAGAGUUAUUAUCGUUUAAUUGGUGUAAUAAAAAUCAACUUAACUUGUA
rnacentral:lncRNA from 1 species